rnacentral:rRNA from 1 species
GACGAACGCUGGCGGCGUGCCUAAUACAUGCAAGUAGAACGAGUUGCGAACGGGUGAGUAACGCGUGGUACCCUUCCUCAUCGCAGGGAAUAACUAUUGGUAACGAUAGCUAAUACCGCAUACUGUGAGAUUGACCUGCGUGUUAUUAGCUAGUUGGUGAGGUAAAGGCUAACCAAGGCGACGAUCCCUAGCUGGUCUGAGAGGAUGAUCAGCCACACUGGAACUGAGACACGGUCCAGACUCCUACGGGAGGCAGCAGUGGGGAAUAUUGCACAAUGGGCGAAAGUCUGAUCAAGCCAUGCCGCGUGUAUGAAGAAGGCCUUCGGUUUGUAAAGUUCUGUUAGUGGGGAGGCGGUAUCUGAACAAGAAGCAACGGCUAACUCCGUGCCAGCAGCCGCGGUAAUAC